GUAGGCAAUCGUAUCUAUGGACCUCUUCUCAGAAUAAUAACCUUUUUAAUGCAUAAAAUAAAAUGUAUGGAAUUACAAAGGAAACCAAUUAUACUGAAAUAGAUACAAAAAUAUUUGUAUUUCUUAAAGGUCCAGGGAUCCCAGGUUAAAAACCCCUUAAUAUGCAAGGAACCAUUAGAAAAAAAUGUUUAACACAUAAAAUGAAAUAAUUACAAAGAAAACGAUUAUAUUGAAACAGUUAUCAAAAUAUUCUUAAAAGCAAAUUUAUGGACACCUGGUAAAAUAGAUGAUCAAAAGAUUUGAAGGCCACUAGUAGAGGCAAAGUGGGCGGCUCAACCGGACUCCCCUUUUAAUUCAUUAGGUUGUAAACUCCUUGAAGACAACUGUCUUUUGCUUCUUGUAGUAUCAAGAGAUCUUAGCACACGCACUUAGUGUUUACUGAUACUGAGUACGGUAGGAAGUAACUGGCCUCCUUCCCAGAACCGGCGCGCCGGCGCCGCUCCCGGGCACUAGAGAAAGGAAGGGCUGCAGGAUGGGGGAGGGGCGGAGGCGGGCAGCACGCACACCCGCACCACGUGAGGCGCCUGAGCACCACGGGCACCGCAGGACUAGCCUCAGCCGGGCAGGCAGGUUCGGGAAAUGCGCGCGUUUCUGCGACACAGGGGGAAAUCUUACCCAGUAUUGAACCCAUUCCACAGGAGUCCAGAAAAAAGAACCCUUUGGGAAAGGGGCACCUACCUGGAUCAAUGAUAACAACUUUAGGGCCAGAGGGGAGAACUGAAGGAGGACUGAACCCAGAAGCACUAUCUCCUCCCCCUCCUCCCCCAAAACACCAGCAAUCUACUACAAAAUGAUCAGGCAAAGACUCAAGAAACUUACUCAGAGAAUAGAAAAGACUGGGUUUCAUCUUCAGAGCAGGAUGCUGAAAUAAAGGAAAAAAACCUCUCCUAUCUCAAAGAGUAACUUCAAAUGGUCAUCGACCCCAAACGAAUGCAUAGAACUGGAGGUAAAAAAAAAACAA